rnacentral:lncRNA from 1 species
GUUUUUUUGGAAAAUACGGUGGUAUGAAUUCAAGGUAUAAAACCUUAUGCUGGCUGGUUUGUGAUUAUACAUCCUCAAGGGAACUCUUUCCCCUGCAUAGCCAAUGUCAAUGCUUAGGUCAGUGAAAUUUCCUUAUGGUGACCUCACAGCGAGGGUGUAACCCUUGAGAAUCACAGCUUUAUGCAGUGAGACAGGAUGUCUCUCAUUGACUCUCCCUCUUGGGUGGUCACUGGGCUUUUUUCUUCUAUUCUGCAAUGCCUGCAAGGCCACGGACUUUUUAGAAAGCUCAACUACGACCUUACUUAAUGAAUGCUUUCAUAGUCCUUUUACCUUUUCAAUGUCCCGCUUUCACCUGAUUUUUGGUUUCUGAGAACUACUUAGCUCAUCAGUAUACUCACAAAGUGGAUUUUAGAAAAUAUUUUAUCUGGCAGUUUUUAUUGCUUUUCCAUAGGAGGAUCUAGCUGCAGUAUUGCCAGAACAAGAAAUUCACCUCUAUCUGUUCCUGUGUCUAACUAGGAUAUCAUGUGAACUGAAUGAGCCUUACGUUUUCUUUAUUGACAGCUUAGUGAGUGACUUUUGAACCAGGGUUGCAUGUCUUAAGGAACAACCCCAUCUUGAGGACUCAGUAACUUAAAAAUGGAUCUGCUGGUGCUCUCUCGACCAUGAAUUCUGAGGUGGCAGAACAGAGGCCAAGGUUUUGUUAGGUCAUAAUGCUAUCAUGUUUGAACUCCAUUCAUGUGUCGUGCUAGGAAAGGAGUGGUAUUAUCCCAGUCUUCCAGCUUAAACAUUUCACAACACUAAAUCCAUACUCUUUCUCCUUGUGUCUUACAAUUCUCCAAGCUAGAUCCCUGAGCAUAUUCCAUAAUCAGUGGGAAAGGGAGCUGAGCACAUCUGCACAGCCUCCUGUUUCGAUUGGGAGCUCCUUGGAGGCAGAGAAUUUCCUGUGUAUUCUGGAUCUCUCCAGUUUGUGCUCCAGAUGCAGUCUCCACUCUGCUUCUCAUCAGAAGGCCAGCCGUGUGGUCACAUCAAUAAACUUCCCUACCUUCUGCUUUCUAGUUUCAUGCACGAGGGGGAACCUGGCCCAAGAGCAGAGGACAGGAGGAAGAGAAUUCAGGGUGUUUCUCACCCAGACUCCCUCACUGCUAGGUCACCUCAGGCUGACUGGUGACUUUAUCCCUUCACAAGGGCAUCUGGACCAAAGGUUCCCAUCACAAUGACUUCUGCAGGACUCUUGCUUCCCAGGUUAUGGGUGAUAACAGUUCCUCUGCUGUGACUUCCAUGGGGUUACGGCCUCACUGGUGUAAACAGUCCCUUUGUAGAUAAUCCCCCUCCAAUGAUCCUAAUUUGAAUGUGCCAUCUCUUUCCUCUUGUGGGUCACUAUGUCUCCUUCCAUUCACCCAAGAAGUAUUUUAUGCACGUGUACUAUGUGCCAGAUACUAUUCUAGGUGCUGAGGACACGAAAGUAAAAUAAAAAGGACAAGAUCCCUGCACUCUUGGAAUUCAUCUUCAGACUUAACACUGUGUGUGGUACAGAGCAGAUGCCCUUCUAAAGGGAUAAAUAUAAUUUCCUCUUCUCAUUAAAACUUUUCCUCAACCCUGAAUCAGAAGUGCUUACUAUGGGGUUCAGCAAGAGCCUGCUGAUUACAUAUAGCGGACAUGCCAACGAGAACAAGGGAUGGGGGGAAGUAAGCCACACAAGUGACUCUGAGCCUUUGCAGAAGGGUGCAGUUGAAACAAGCAGCAUAUAGAUGUGGAUCCAAAUCUACUCAUUUUCAUUUAACAAACUCAAGGACUCUGAAAAUAUUUUACCUGACAAAGUGAGAUUUAAAAAAUAAACACAGGAAGGUGAGCUUUGUGGCUUUUCUGACAGAUCAAACCACUGCGUGCAGCCUAAUUCCCACCAGCUGCCAAAGAACUACACCACAGGUGAAUAUUCAUGCUUGUGCUUUUUUAAAAGAUGAAUUUCCUGGAAAACAGCCACAUUUCUUAGGAGGCAAACAGGUUAAGCUAAAUGUCUUAUUAGGAAUAUGUGUCACUUAAAAUUCUGAGUUUGGGCUUUGCAAGGUCAUCUUUCCACACCUGCUUGAAAGUUUCAUCAAAAUAAUACCCAUGCCUAGAGACCAGGAGAUGCUAUUGAUUCUUCUCUCCCGCUUUUCCUUCUCCAAAAGUCAGAUUUACUGCAAGCAAGCAGAGAAUCUACAUUUAGAACCAUCCCUGAGAAGGAUCACCGGAUGACAGCAUUGUCAUCUGCAGCGAGGAUGGUGGCUACGAGCACUAAGACAAUUUAAUUAUUUCCUGAGGCCAACAAAGAUUUCACCUGCUCUUUCUUCAGCUGUUCCUAAUUAGAAUAAAAGCCAGGAAACCCAGUAAUAAUAACAGCUGUUAGCUUCCAAAGUCUUCACUCUCAACAUAGUACUAAUUCAGCUAGGGUAUAAAACGGGAAGGAAUCAGAAUGGGAAAUGCCAUUCAGUAUUUGUUCAAAAGGCCCUCACAUUGUUGGUAUUUUUGUUAGUGUUUGUUAAUAUGAAGCAGGAACUUUUUUAAAUCCCUGUUUUAUGCAAGUCACAGCAGGUUCCCUUGCAAGGAUCAUUCCAUUAACAAGAAAUUGAACAGGAGUGGGUACUACAUAUUCUUGAGGAACAUCAUGAAUUGGAACUUGGAGGAAGGCAUGCAGUCAAAUGAACAAAAAACCAAAAAUCUAUUUUCUGCAGUUUUCUGUCAGUGAACUCGUUUUUACUAAAAGAGAAUUUAAUUCAGCAAAUAAAUGGGCUGAUAAUAAUCUAAAAGUCUAGCAAAGUGGAUUUUAUUUGGUUUAUUUAUUUAUAUAAAAAGGCUGGAGUGCAGUGGUGCAAUCUAGGCUCACUGCAACCUCCGCCUCCUGGAUUCAAGUGAUUCUCCUACCUCAGCCUCCAGAGGAGCUGGGAUUACAGAUGUCUGCCACCAUGCCCGGCUAAUUUCUGUAUCUUUAGUAGAGACGGCGUUUCAUCAUAUUGGCCAGGCUGAUCUCAAACUCUGUUCUCAAGUGAUUCACCUGCCUUGGCCUCCCACAGUGCUGGAAUUAUAUGCCCACAAUGCACGGCCGCAAAUUGGAUUUUAAACAACGUAACAGCAAAGCAGUAGAGAGUAAACUUGAAGCUCUUAGAAGAAAAGAAACUGUUCAGGAACUGUCUGCUCCUUUUUAUCCCAUUUAUGCUUGAGGUUGCAAUUUUUUGAAUUUUUGCAAUCAGACCUUGGCAAUGACCAUGAGCAGUAGGAUAUAAAUAACUCGAUAAGCAAGUAGAUCAAUAUAUAAAAAAAUUUACACUUUGGAUCCAUUUAAAUACAAAAAAAGGAAAUGAAAUGCUGCGAUACAGCUAUCCAAAUGUACACAGAUUUUUCCAGUUAUUGUAGCUACCACUUUUUAUUACACACUUAAAAGAUUUUUGGCAGCAACUGACCUAAUUCUUCCAAGCCAGAAUAUGAAUUCCCAUAUGGUUCUGUAUUCUUUCCAUUACUAUACAGUUUUUCUUGGCUACUGUUUUCUUCUGCUCAUUCCUUUUUCUCUCCUAUAAUAUUCAAGCAACUUUACUCCCAUUCCUAUAAACAAAGAUAUGUAUUAUGAUUAUUUCUUUUGAUCAGAAUAUUCUUUUCCUGAAAUUAGUCAAUUAAAUAUUUAUUCCAUAUAAAUUAUGUAAAAUACACAGUAUUAAGCAUUGUUGUAACUUUUUUUUAAAAGACCCUAGAAAGACUUCAAAAUCUUUUUGAAAAGGGCACACAUAAUAAAGGUUACCAAUACAUGGUAGCAAAUGAUAAUUGCAAAAUCAGUAAAGCAAUACUAAAUUCACUGGGCCACAGGAUAAGGCGAUACCAGACUAGACUGGUGCUCAGGAAAGAGUACUCAAAGGACUGACUUUACACAGGAAGAAGUUACUGAGUGAGUGGAAAAGGUGAAAGUACAGAGGUAGAUGACAAGAAAGGAAAAACCAUGGCAACCAGAAACACAAUGUAUAUUUCAGUGGGAGUGAGCAGAGACAUUUGGCUACAGUAAGCCCUUCCAGUAGGAAAGUAUUGGGAGAUGAGGAUAAUCAGAUGGGCUGGAAGCCAAUCAGCUUAUGAACACCAAGAGAAAGACACCAUAAAAGCAUGGUUCAGAGAUUGCCUUAAAGGCCAGAGAAAUCCCAUUGUAGACCUGGUCCCGCUAUGUACUAGCCUGGA